CUACACUUGUUAGAAAUAUGAGAUUCUGCCUUCUCUAUAGCUGGAAUGCCGAGAAUUCUGCUACAGUGAGCUGAAGAAACAUUUCCUGCUGUGACAGAAAGGAUGAACUACAAAUUCAGAGGAGGUUUUAGUGGGUCCACAUGGUGAGACAUACCCAACAAAUCAUGAUGCAAACCAGGCCAUGAAUAUAAAAGCUGAGGAAGUCUCAGACUCACAAGAGGAAGUGGAUCCUCUACAAAUAACAGUUCAGGAGAUAAAGGCUGAACCUGAGAACUGUACAAAUUCGGAGAACGCUUUAGUGGGUCCAUACGGUGAGAGAUACCAAAUACCUCAUUAUGCAAAUCAGGCCAUGAAUGUAAAAGCUGAGGCAGUCUCAGGUGCAGAAGAGGAAGAGGAUCCUGUCCCAAUAACAUUUCUAGAAAUAAAGGCUGAACCUGAGGUGAGCUGUAUGUGCACUGCUAGGCAGAUGACACAUAUGUGCAGAAAUGCCGCUUGUCUUGUCUG